AACAAUCCAUUUCCUAACAAUAUGAACUUGCAAAAUCUUAUUUUGGGAAAGACGAUAUACCUUAUACGAUGUAGAGCUAUUGACAAAAACUUGUUGACCUAAUUAAUUUGCAAGCUAAUUGAUUUUACAAAGUUAUCGUCAUGCAAAACUACCAAAAACGUGUGAUAAAAUCUAAAAAUCAUGUACAGAGCUACAAAUCUACUGAAAUCUAUAAAUUUCGGAAAAGAACAGGACAUACUAUUAAAAUGGUUUAAGAUAUACUUAAGCACGACCAGCCUCGAUAACCUUGGCGUUGAAACGUUCCUUGCGC